rnacentral:rRNA from 1 species
GAUCAUGGCUCAGGACGAACGCUGGCGGCGCGCCUAACACAUGCAAGUCGAACGGAGUCAAGAGGAGCUUGCUUUUCUUGACUUAGUGGCGAACGGGUGAGUAACGCGUGAGUAACCUGCCCUGGAGUGGGGGACAACAGUUGGAAACGACUGCUAAUACCGCAUAAGCCCACGGCCCGGCAUCGGGCUGCGGGAAAAGGAUUUAUUCGCUUCAGGAUGGACUCGCGUCCAAUUAGCUAGUUGGUGAGGUAACCGG